rnacentral:rRNA from 1 species
GACGAACGCUGGCGGCGUGCUUAACACAUGCAAGUCGAACGGAAAGGCCCUGCUUUUGUGGGGUGCUCGAGUGGCGAACGGGUGAGUAACACGUGAGUAACCUGCCCUUGACUUUGGGAUAACUUCAGGAAACUGGGGCUAAUACCGGAUAGGUGCUCCUGCUGCCUGGUGGGGGUUGGAAAGUUUCGGCGGUUGGGGAUGGACUCGCGGCUUAUCAGCUUGUUGGUGGGGUAGUGGCUUACCAAGGCUUUGACGGGUAGCCGGCCUGAGAGGGUGACCGGCCACAUUGGGACUGAGAUACGGCCCAGACUCCUACGGGAGGCAGCAGUGGGGAAUAUUGCACAAUGGGCGGAAGCCUGAUGCAGCAACGCCGCGUGCGGGAUGACGGCCUUCGGGUUGUAAACCGCUUUCGCCUGUGACGAAGCGUGAGUGACGGUAAUGGGUAAAGAAGCACCGGCUAACUACGUG